CUGGGUCGGGCGGUGGAGUUGGCAUAACCUCUUCGCCACGGUCAGGGCUUGCGACUGCGCAGCAAACGUCCUUCUCCUCCAGAAUGUUCAUGACGACCUCCCGGAGCAGUGGCGGGUCGUCAUGCUCCUCCAUGUGGAUCCGGACUCUUGAUGGCACAAUCUGAAUCCCUAUAGCGGCGGUUGGUUUUGACACUGCAAGGAUGGUGGUUGAAGGAGUGGGGCAACGGAAACGUAGUGGCUCGGGGAAGAUUUGGCGGUUGGUGUGGGCGGCGCUGGUGCACUUCUUCAGAUUCGUCGGAUGAAGAAGCCGGUGAUGGAGGCCGAUGGGUGGUGCGGGGUAGAUCCCUGGCUGAUGCAGCACAACGUCGUCGGGGGAGACGACAUGCGGUUCUCUGAAGCGGCAGUGGCCGCAUGGUGCUCCCUCUGUCUUCGGUGCACUGGAUUGUUUCAGAAAACACAUGCGUGUGGUGUUGUAUUCUUAUCCUUUUUUCUGUUCUUUUUAGAAGUCUUGCACUCUCCUUAUCCUCGUGGUAGAACCCCACCUUCCGGUGUCCACCGCCGCUAAAUUUUCACUGCGAUUUUUACAAGCUGCCUCAUGUCGAAGUUAGAUUGUUCCUUUCUUCUUCUUGCGUUUUAUUUUGUCUUGGCCUCGUGGAUGGAGAUUCAAGUUUCCUGUUCAGAUUUCUCAAUUCUUUGCAUGAGGUCAUUAUAGUUUGAGAUACGCUGUUGUACUUGGACAAUGCAUAUAGAAUUAUUCCACGUGUUGA